rnacentral:rRNA from 1 species
GACGAACGCUGGCGGCGUGCUUAACACAUGCAAGUCGAACGGAAAGGCCCUGCUUUUGUGGGGUGCUCGAUUGGCGAACGGGUGAGUAACACGUGAGUAACCUGCCCUUGACUUUGGGAUAACUUCAGGAAACUGGGGCUAAUACCGGAUAGGAGCUCCUGCUGCAUGGUGGGGGUUGGAAAGUUUCGGCUGUUGUGGAUAGACUCGCGGCUUAUCAGCUUGUUGGUGGGGUAGUGGCUUACCAAGGCUUUGACGGGUAGCCGGCCUGAGAGGGUGACCGGCGACAUUGGGCCUGAGAGACGGCGCAGACUCCAACGGGAGGCAGUAGUGGGGAAUAUUGCACAGUGGGCCGAAGCCUGAUGCAGAAACGCCGGGUGCGUAAUGACGGCCUUCGGGUUGUAAACAGCUUUCGAAUGUGACGAAGCGUGAGUGACGGUAAUGGGUAAAGAAGCAACGGCUAACUACGUG